UGAUUUAGGGAGUUCCCAUAAUAGAGUUGUUACAGCCACAAAGAGAGGUAAUAUGCAAGGCACACAAGUUGAACCUGACCCAGAUGAUGAUGACCAAGAUUUAGUUCAGGAAAUUGUGAAGGUCGAGCCUGACCCAGAUGACAAUGAUGCCAUGCAUGUAGAUAUAGCAAUUGUGACAUCAGGGCCAUCAGGUAAUAUGCAAGGCACACAAGUUGAACCUGACCCAGAUGACAAUGGCAAAGAUUUAGUUAACGGAAUUGUGAAGGUGGAGCCUGACCCAGAUGACAAUGAUGCCAUGCAUGUGGAUGUAGCAAUUGUGACAUCAGGGACAUCAGGUUAUUCCGAGCCUGAUCCUGAUGAUGCUGGCGAGAAAAACUCUUUAAGUAGCCUAGAACCUGAUCCUGAUGAUUCCCCUGUUGUUGGCAUUCUUAACAAGGAGAUGAAGAUUGAUGUGAAGCAUUGCAAAGAACCUGAUCCUGAUGAUGGUGCUGGUGAAUUUGUCCUGGAUUCGGGAAACAAGAUGGAAGUGGAGAGGGAGCCGAGAGGUAACACGUCAGUUUUGAAGUCUGAACCUGAUCCUGAUGAUUCCUCAAAUGCUAUUCUGAACAAGAAGGUGAGCAUUGGCGACAAGCACAUGAGAGAACCUGAUCCUGAUG
rnacentral:lncRNA from 1 species